GAUGAACGCUGGCGGCGUGCCUAAUACAUGCAAGUCGAGCGAACAGACGAGGAGCUUUCUCCUCUGACGUUAGCGGCUGACGGGUGAGUAACACGUGGAUAACCUACCUAUAAGACUUGGAUAACUUCGUGAAACCGGAGCUAAUACCGGAUAAUAUAUUGAACCGCAUGGUUCAAUAGUGAAUGACGGUUUUGCUGUCUCUUAUAGAUGGAUCCGCGCCGCAUUAGCUAGUUGGUAAGGUAACGGCUUACCAAGGCAACGAUGCGUAGCCGACCUGAGAGGGUGAUCGGCCACACUGGAACUGAGACACGGUCCAGACUCCUACGGGAGGCAGCAGUAGGGAAUCUUCCGCAAUGGGCGAAAGCUUGACGGAGCAACGCCGCGUGAGUGAUGAAGGUCUUCGGAUCGUAAAACUCUGUUAUUAGGGAAGAACAAAUGUGUAAGUAACUAUGCACGUCUUGACGGUACCUAAUCAGAAAGCCACGGCUAACUACGUG
rnacentral:rRNA from 1 species